GGCUUCAUGGUCUAGUGGUAUGAUUCCUGCUUCGGGAAAACAAACCUGGAGUCCCCGGUUCUCUAGAAUCGCCUUUGCAGGAGGCCCCGGGUUCGAAUCCCGGUGAAGCCC
rfam:Trichoderma virens Gv29-8 TRIVIscaffold_87, whole genome shotgun sequence.